UCCCUGGUGGCUCAGUGGUAAAGGGUUCACCUGCCAAUGCAGGAGACUCGGGUUCAAUCCCUGAUCAGGGAA
rnacentral:tRNA from 1 species